rnacentral:rRNA from 1 species
GAUGAACGCUGGCGGCGUGCCUAAUACAUGCAAGUCGAGCGAACAGACGAGGCGCUUGCUCCUCUGACGUUAGCGGCGGACGGGUGAGUAACACGUGGAUAACCUACCUAUAAGACUGGGAUAACUUCGGGAAACCGGAGCUAAUACCGGAUAAUAUAUUGAACCGCAUGGUUCAAUAGUGAAAGACGGUUUUGCUGUCACUUAUAGCUGGAUCCGCGCCGAAUUAGCUAGUUGGUAAGGUAACGGCUUACCAAGGCACCGAUGCGUCGCCGACCUGGGGGGGGGAUCGGCCACCCGGGACCUGAGAGCCGGUCCAGCGCCCUACGGGGGGCAGCGGUAGGAAUUCUUCCGCAAGGGGCGAAAGCUUAUCGGAGCAACGCCGCGUGAGUGAUAAAGGUCUUCGGUUCUUAAAACCUUGUUGUUAGGGGAGAACAAAUGUAUAAGUAACGAUGCCCGAUUGACCGUAACCGAAGCAGAAGACCAGGGCAACCUCCUG